GACGAACGCUGGCGGCGUGCUUAACACAUGCAAGUCGAGCGGUAAGGCCCUUUCGGGGGUACACGAGCGGCGAACGGGUGAGUAACACGUGGGUGACCUGCCCUCAGCUCUGGGAUAAGCCUGGGAAACCGGGUCUAAUACUGGAUAUGACUCCAUGACGCAUGUUGUGGGGUGGAAAGCCUUGUGCGGCUGAGGAUGGGCCCGCGGCCUAUCAGCUUGUUGGUGGGGUGANGGCCUACCAAGGCGACGACGGGUAGCCGGCCUGAGAGGGCGACCGGCCACACUGGGACUGAGACACGGCCCAGACUCCUACGGGAGGCAGCAGUGGGGAAUCUUGCGCAAUGGGCGAAAAGCCUGACGCAGCGACGCCGCGUGAGGGAUGACGGCCUGG
rnacentral:rRNA from 1 species